rnacentral:lncRNA from 1 species
CAAAGGCAAGCCUAGACUUGAGGAAGAGGAAAGUAAACUUCAUAUCUUUACUGAAGGAGUCUGCAAGGUCAUGUUAAAGGGUGUGGACAUAAGGAAGGUAAAAGAACUGGAACUCUUAAUGCAACCAAUCUUCCAACAGGACAGGAUAUAUGAGUUUCUGUGAGUCCAGUGAGAAGGAAGGAAUAGAGCUGGAUUUGAGCCAUCUACUCGGAAUACCACUUAGGAUCACUUCCUGCCAGGAAAGGAGACUCCAAUAGCUGGAGACUGUGGGUAUCCCACAGAUGGUGGGAGUAUGUGAGUAAAAGGGACUUAAAGGGGUUGAACUGGAGCCAGGUCUCCCACAGUUUAGGGAACUGUGUGGUGGAGAAGUCCUUCACCAUUGCCAAAGAACUCACGCAGGCACCACAUGAGAGAGCCAGUGUUUUGGAUGCCUGGGACAGUGGGUAUUCAUGACCAGUCCAAUAACAAGAACUAAUGUACAAAGAACUAUCUUUCCACCUGGUCAAUUUGCCUCAAUCCCUCUUUCCUCGCUCCUGUCCCCAUUGAACCUACACUUUGAAGAAGAAGGAAAAAGGGAACUGGAACAAUCCUCGACUGGCUGGGCGUGGUGGCUUAUGCCUGUAAUCCCAGUGCUUUGGAAGGCCGAGGUGGGAGAGUCAACUGAGCCCAGGAGUUCGAGGCUGCAGUGAGCUGUGAUCACGCCACUGCACUCCAGCCUGGAGAGCAGAAUGAGACCCUGUCUCUAGAAAAACAAAAAAGGAAGGAAAAAAAGAAAAAUUCUCUACCCAAAUAUUUUUUCAUGACGUUGACUAUUUGAAGAGGCUGAGCCAGUUUUCCUAUAUAAUAUGUCCCAUAUCCUGACUGUUUCCCAUGGUGUUGUUCAACCUGUUUGUCUAUCCCCUUUAUUUUGUGUAUUUAGGUCUAGACUUGAUUAAAUUCAGGUUUAA